UACGUAGGUGGCAAGCGUUGUCCGGAUUUACUGGGCGUAAAGCGUGCGCAGGCGGUUUCGUAAGUCUGUCGUGAAAUCCCCGGGCUCAACCUGGGAAUUGCGAUGGAGACUGCGAGGCUAGAGUUUGGCAGAGGGGGGUAGAAUUCCACGUGUAGCAGUGAAAUGCGUAGAGAUGUGGAGGAACACCGAUGGCGAAGGCAGCCCCCUGGGUCAAAACUGACGCUCAUGCACGAAAGCGUGGGGAGCAAACAGG
rnacentral:rRNA from 1 species